AGCGAACGCUGGCGGCAGGCCUAACACAUGCAAGUCGAACGAACUCUUCGGAGUUAGUGGCGGACGGGUGAGUAACACGUGGGAACGUGCCUUUAGGUUCGGAAUAACUCAGGGAAACUUGUGCUAAUACCGAAUGUGCCCUUCGGGGGAAAGAUUUAUCGCCUUUAGAGCGGCCCGCGUCUGAUUAGCUAGUUGGUGAGGUAAAGGCUCACAAAGGCGACGAUCAGUAGCUGGUCUGAGAGGAUGAUCAGCCACAUUGGGACUGAGACACGGCCCAAACUCCUCCGGGAGGCAGCAGUGGGGAAUCUUGCGCAAUGGGCGAAAGCCUGACGCAGCCAUGCCGCGUGAAUGAUGAAGGUCUUAGGAUUGUAAAAUUCUUUCACCGGGGACGAUAAUGACGGUACCCUGAGAAGAAGCCCCGGCUAACUUCGUGCCAGCCGCCGCAGUAA
rnacentral:rRNA from 1 species